UACGUAGGGGGCUAGCGUUGUCCGGAAUCAUUGGGCGUAAAGCGCGUGUAGGCGGUCCGGUAAGUCCGCUGUGAAAGUCGGGGGCUCAACCCUCGAAUGCCGGUGGAUACUGUCGGGCUAGAGUGCGGAAGAGGCGAGUGGAAUUCCUGGUGUAGCGGUGAAAUGCGCAGAUAUCAGGAGGAACACCGGUGGCGAAGGCGGAUCUCUGGGCCUUACCUGACGCUCAGGCGCGAAAAGCUAGGGGGAGCGAACAGG
rnacentral:rRNA from 1 species